UGGAAAUUCGUAAAGUCCAAAAGGAGUA
rnacentral:sRNA from 1 species